UGGGAGCCCUCAUAUGGAGACAUUUUCUUGU
rnacentral:piRNA from 2 species